GCGGGUGUAGCUCAGUGGUAGAGCCCUGCCCUUCCAAGGCAGUUGCGAGGGUUCGACUCCCUUCACCCGCUCCA
rnacentral:tRNA from 1 species